GACGAACGCUGGCGGCGUGCCUAAUACAUGCAAGUUGAGCGCUGAAGGUUGGUACUUGUACCAACUGGAUGAGCAGCGAACGGGUGAGUAACGCGUGGGGAAUCUGCCUUUGAGCGGGGGACAACAUUUGGAAACGAAUGCUAAUACCGCAUAAAAACUUUAAACACAAGUUUUAAGUUUGAAAGAUGCAAUUGCAUCACUCAAAGAUGAUCCCGCGUUGUAUUAGCUAGUUGGUGAGGUAAAGGCUCACCAAGGCGAUGAUACAUAGCCGACCUGAGAGGGUGCUCGGCCACAUUGGGACUGAGACACGGCCCAAACUCCUACGGGAGGCAGCAGUAGGGAAUCUUCGGCAAUAGACGAAAGUCUGACCGAGCAACGCCGCGUGAGUGAAGAAGGUUUUCGGAUCGUAAAACUCUGUUGGUAGAGAAGAACGUUGGUGAGAGUGGAAAGCUCAUCAAGUGACGGUAACUACCCAGAAAGGGACGGCUAACUACGUG
rnacentral:rRNA from 1 species